rnacentral:ncRNA from 2 species
CUUACUAUGCUCCUCGGUGGAUCAUCCGUUCCACCACCGCCACCAUGGCGACCAGGGAGGAAGCCCGGUGCGAAUCCGGCGCGGUCCCGCCACUGUGAGCCCGCCCCCCGGGGCCGGGUGAGCCAGGAACUCCCUUCCGCCGCGCACCACUU